AUUAAGAGCUUGCUCUUAUGAAGUUAGCGGCGGACGGGUGAGUAACACGUGGGUAACCUGCCCAUAAGACUGGGAUAACUCCGGGAAACCGGGGCUAAUACCGGAUAACAUUUUGAACCGCAUGGUUCGAAAUUGAAAGGCGGCUUCGGCUGUCACUUAUGGAUGGACCCGCGUCGCAUUAGCUAGUUGGUGAGGUAACGGCUCACCAAGGCAACGAUGCGUAGCCGACCUGAGAGGGUGAUCGGCCACACUGGGACUGAGACACGGCCCAGACUCCUACGGGAGGCAGCAGUAGGGAAUCUUCCGCAAUGGACGAAAGUCUGACGGAGCAACGCCGCGUGAGUGAUGAAGGCUUUCGGGUCGUANCCUCUGUUGUUAGGGAACAACAUGUGCUU
rnacentral:rRNA from 1 species